CAGCGCCGCGGGAAUACGGAGGGUGCAAGCGUUAAUCGGAAUUACUGGGCGUAAAGCGCACGCAGGCGGUCUGACAAGUCAGAUGUGAAAUCCCCGGGCUUAACCUGGGAACUGCAUUUGAAACUGUCAGGCUGGAGUCUUGUAGAGGGGGGUAGAAUUCCAGGUGUAGCGGUGAAAUGCGUAGAGAUCUGGAGGAAUACCGGUGGCGAAGGCGGCCCCCUGGACAAAGACUGACGCUCAGGUGCGAAAGCGUGGGGAGCAAACAGGAUUAGAUACCCCUGUAGUCCCUGUCUCUUAUACA
rnacentral:rRNA from 1 species